GGGGGCGAUUGGUUUCGACUGGAUCGCUGUUGGUUUGGAUGGCGUGUCGUGGUUGAUCAGUUGGCCACGUAAAAAGCUGAUCAAAAUUUUAUGUGCCGAAGGCAACUUCGCACUGGCCGCCUAGUAAGUAGGUAGCCCCGGCUGCGGGUCUUAGCCGGAGAGAUCCAAAAGCUGGUUGCCAAAUCCGGACCGCUUGGUGUCACGUCGGGCACGCAUCGAGUUAAAUAAGUUCUCGUCUAGUCAAGUUCGCACCCGGUCGACAGGGGGCGGCUUGGCGAAAUUCAAAGAGUCGACUACACACGUAGAAGCUUUCAUGGAAACAUCGCGGGACGCGGGUUCGAUCCCCGCCGCCUCCACUG
rnacentral:tmRNA from 1 species